rnacentral:rRNA from 1 species
AUUGAACGCUGGCGGCAUGCCUUACACAUGCAAGUCGAACGGCAGCACGGGAGCAAUCCUGGUGGCGAGUGGCGAACGGGUGAGUAAUAUAUCGGAACGUGCCCAGUCGUGGGGGAUAACGCAGCGAAAGCUGUGCUAAUACCGCAUACGAUCUAAGGAUGAAAGCGGGGGAUCGCAAGACCUCGCGCGAUUGGAGCGGCCGAUAUCAGAUUAGCUAGGUGGUGGGGUAAAGGCCCACCAAGGCGACGAUCUGUAGCUGGUCUGAGAGGACGACCAGCCACACUGGAACUGGGAAACGGUCCAGACUCCUACGGGAGGAAGCAGUGCGGAAUUUUGGGCAAUGGGCGCAAGCCUGAUCCAGCAAUGCCGUGUGCAGGAUGAAGGCCUUCGGUUUGUAAACUGCUUUUGUACGGAACGAAACGGCCCUUUCUAAUACAGGGGGCUAAUGACGGUACCGUAAGAAUAAGCACCGGCUAACUACGUGCCAGCCGCCGCGGUAACAC